rnacentral:rRNA from 1 species
UACGUAGGGACCAAGCGUUGUCCGGAAUUAUUGGGCGUAAAGAGCUCGUAGGCGGUUUGUCGCGUCUGCUGUGAAAACCUAAGGCUCAACCUUGGGCUUGCAGUGGGUACGGGCAGACUAGAGUGCGGUAGGGGUGACUGGAAUUCCUGGUGUAGCGGUGGAAUGCGCAGAUAUCAGGAGGAACACCGAUGGCGAAGGCAGG